rnacentral:misc_RNA from 1 species
GCCCUCUUUACUUGUCCCACAUGAAAAAAGCCUUGUACCAUCAGCACUGUAAGCCAUGGUUGUGCACCAGCGACCAGGAGCCUCAUAAUCAACACGAGAUCCCAAAUUGUCAUACAACCAUGCCUUUAUCUUCCCAUCCAAUGCAGUUGAAAAAAUAAACUGAAUGUUUUCCUUAUAGUGAGGGCAGACAGAAUAAACAGGAGCC